rnacentral:lncRNA from 15 species
AUGUCAGGCUCAGUUUCACUGUCAAUGUCAGUCUCACUGUCUCCAUCGCUCAGGUUUUCAAUGUCUGUGUCCUCGAUCACGCUGUCAUUGUCCACCUCCUCUGACAUGUCUUCGUCUGUGAUUACCUCCUGCUCACCCUCUGCUGUUUCCACCUCCUCUGACAUGUCUUCGUCUGUGAUCACCUCCUGCUCACCCUCUGCUGGUUCCACCUCCUCUGACAUGUCUUCAUCUGUGAUCACCUGCUCACCCUCUGCUGGUUCCACCUCCUCUGACGUGUCUCCAUCUGUGAUCACCUGCUCACCCUCUGCUGGUUCAGCCUCCUCUGACAUGUCUUCGUCUGUGAUCACCUGCUCACCCUCUGCUGGUUCCACCUCCUCUGACGUGUCUUCGUCUGUGAUCCCCUCUUUCUCCCCCCCCUCUGGUUCUUUGCUCCCUUCCUUCAACUCCUCCUCUAAGUCAUCCAGAGUCAGGCUGUCGUCAUUGCUGUCAUCCUCGUCUGCUGUGGUAACCUCAGCCUCAGAGUCAGCCUCAGAGUCAGCCUCAGAGUCAGCCUCAGCCUCAGAGUCUGCCUUAGAGUCAGCCUCAGCCUCAGAGUCUGCCUUAGAGUCAGCCUCAGUCUCAGAGUCUGCCUUAGAGUCAGCCUCAGCCUCAGAGUCUGCCUUAGAGUCAGCCUCAGAAUCAGUGUCAGUGUCAGCCUCACUGUCAGCAUCAGCCUCAGAGUCAGUGUCAGCGUCAGCCUCAGUGUCAGUGUCAGCCUCAGAGUCAGCCUCACUGUCAGUGUCACUGUCAGCGUCAGCCUCAGAGUCAGCACCAGUGUUCAUGCUUUUGUUGGAGUUGGCGUCACUUUUGUCCUCACUUUCUGCAUCAGCUGCAGAGUCUUCAGUAUCUGAAGAAUAAAGACAUUGCACACUAAUCAAUUAUUUGUUAUCAUGUAAACAUGAGCAUGGUAUAUCUGUGGUCAGUGUUUAAUGUCCAUGUUAUUGAUAAAACAGACAAGCCAAUCAGAGUGCUGCACCUGUGGCUGUCAGGCUGCAGUGUAUCAUUAAAAGUUCAAGGAAUACAGGAAUAAGGUCAUUCACAGAGGCGGCUCAUACCACUGUUAUGCCGAUGAUACACAGAUCUACUUCUCUGCUGAACCCAAUAACCUGAAUCAACUGUCCUCUCUCCAUGAGUGAUUAGCUGCCACCAAAGACUGGAUGUCUCUUAAUUUUCUCCACCUAAAUCCUGACAAAACUGAAAUCAUUUCAUUUGGCCCUGAAAACUCACUGCAGUUGAUCAGUUUAUUGGACCAUUAUGCAUAAAUAUCCAACCCACUGCUAAGAAUCUGGGUAUCAUCUUUGACCAGUAUAUGGCAAUUGACCUUCAUGUUACAGAACUUGACCAAUCCCAUUUUCUGCAGCUACAAAAGCUACUUUAUCGUAUAUAGUGUAUAUAUUUUUAUACUCUAGAUUUCUAUUACAUAUAUUUUCCUUUUUUUCCAAUCUAUUUUUAUUUUAUUUACUGUAUUUACUACAUCUAAAGGAGCAGAAAUGGACAGAUUAACAGAAAAAUAUGUUCCCUUGUAUGUUUUUAGAGAUUCAACAUCCUCAUUCUUUGUGUGGGUUUGGUUUCAGGUUUGAUUUCCCUCAGUCUGUCUCUGCUGUUAGUUUGAUUGUUCCAGAGGAAAGACUUCCUGAACUCAUCACCAUUAAACAAACUAAAGACCCGCCAGACAAGAAGGAAGAGGGAAACCUGAGGAUUACCUUCAGGUGUUGAGUCGACACUAUCAGCAUC